CGUCCACAUUACGUUUAAACACCGAUUCCUGUACGAUCACCGAAGUUAAGCAACGUUGAGCCUGGUUAGUACCUAUAUGGGUAACCGCUUGGGGA